AUGUCUCUCCCAAAAUCCAGACACAAAUAUCUGAUUGACAAUCUGACAUCUCUCCUCUAAAUUUGCUCAGGCAAAAAUCCCUGGAGUCAUCUGAACCUAUGCAGCAAGAGGAAGAGACGCCCAUAAAUUGUCCUCUCAGGACUGACCUGAUGACUCACCCACUGGCCAUUUCUCUCCACGGUGACUUCUGUGCCUGUUUGACUGAAGUUCAGGAACAAAUCCCAGGAAAGAAGUGACAUCAGGACCAGCAGCAAUGGCUAAUGACCCCCUCCCUGGCGCUGACCAAUCAUCGGAGAUCAAGACCUGAGGAGACACACCAAGAGAGCUGAUAAACAUUCUCUUGAGAUCCUCCUCUGAGACCUCAGAUAAAAGGCCUCAGGAUGGAGGAACCAAUGGAGCUCUUUCGAUGGAGUACACCUGCGCCUCUUCCCACCCUUUCCCCAGGGCAGCUCUCUCUCCCGCCCUCCCCGAAGCUCCAAAGACCCUUCUUUUGCUGGAACUUGUUUUUGAACCCAUUUCUUCUAUGGCUCACUACUCCUACCUCUGUGGCUUCCUAAAUAAACUUAUAAUUUGA